UGUCCAGUAACUCCUAUCCCUACCACCCCGUGGUGCCCCGAGUAACCGUAGGGAAGAUCGGGUAACCAACCCUGGUGGGACCUUGGUCGUAUGCUGACAGGGAAGG
rnacentral:ribozyme from 1 species